GUGCUCGCUUCAGCAGUACAUAUACUAAAAUUGAAACGACACAGAGAAGAUUAGCACAGCAACUGCACAAGGAUGACACGCAAACUUGUGAAGCAUUCCUUAUUUGU